rnacentral:rRNA from 1 species
GCACCCGUCAGGCGGGGCUA